AGAGUUUGAUCAUGGCUCAGGAUGAACGCUAGCGGCAGGCUUAACACAUGCAAGUCGAGGGCGAUUGAUAUUAGCAAUAGUAUUAAUUGACCGGCGAAAGGGUGCGUAACGCGUGAGUAACAUACCCGUUACAGAGGGAUAGUCGAUGGAAACGUCGUAUAAUACCUCAUAGUAUAGAUUUAUCCCCUGAUAGAUUUAUUAAAUCGUAAGAGGUAACGGAGUGGCUCGCGUCCCAUUAGUUAGUUGGCGUGGCAACGGCACACCAAGACGACGAUGGGUAGGGGUUCUGAGAGGAAGGUCCCCCACACUGGAACUGAGACACGGUCCAGACUCCUACGGGAGGCAGCAGUGAGGAAUAUUGGUCAAUGGGCGGAAGCCUGAACCAGCCAUGCCGCGUGCAGGAAUAGAUCCCUAUGGGACAUAAACUGCUUUUGAUACUGAGCAAGAGCAUAUACGUGUAUAUGAGUGAGAGUAAGUAUCGAAUAAGCAUCGGCUAACUCCGUGCCAGCAGCCGCGGUAAUACGGGGGAUGCAAGCGUUAUCCGGAAUUAUUGGGUUUAAAGGGUGCGUAGGCUGUGCGGUGCGUCUGUGGUUAAAGGCCUCUGCUUAACGGAGCGUAUGCCAUAGAAACGGCCGUGCUUGAGAGUGAUUGUCGUGGGAGGAAUGUGUGGUGUAGCGGUGAAAUGCAUAGAUAUCACACAGAACACCGAUUGCGAAGGCAUCUCGCGAAGUCAUAUCUGACGCUGAAAGCACGAAAGCGUGGGGAAUCAAAACAGGAUUAGAUACCCUGGUAGUCCACGCUGUAAACGAUGAUAACUAACCGCCGGCGAUAGACUGAUCGGUGGCUAAGCGAAAGCGAUAAGUUAUCCACCUGGGGAGUACGACCGCAAGGUUGAAACUCAAAGGAAUUGACGGGGGCCCGCACAAGCGGAGGAACAUGUGGUUUAAUUCGAUGAUACGCGAGGAACCUUACCCGGGCUCGAACGGCAUCUGCAUAUAUCAAAGAUGGUAUAGUCUUCGGACAGAUGUCGAGGUGCUGCAUGGUUGUCGUCAGCUCGUGCCGUGAGGUGUCGGCUUAAGUGCCAUAACGAGCGCAACCCUUGCCUGCUGUUACCAACGUGUAAAGACGGGGACUCAGCAGGGACUGCCACCGUAAGGUGUGAGGAAGGGGGGGAUGACGUCAAAUCAGCACGGCCCUUACGUCCGGGGCGACACACGUGUUACAAUGGCGGUUACAGAGAGUUGCUUGACAGUGAUGUUUGGCUAAUCUAUAAAGACCGUCUCAGUUCGGACUGGAGUCUGCAACCCGGCUCCACGAAGCUGGAUUCGCUAGUAAUCGCGCAUCAGCCAUGGCGCGGUGAAUACGUUCCCGGGCCUUGUACACACCGCCCGUCAAGCCAUGGAAGUCAUUGGCGCCUGAAGCUUGUGCCCGCAAGGAGCGAGCGAAGGCGAAAAUGGUAACUGGGGCUAAGUCGUAACAAGGUAGCCGU
rnacentral:rRNA from 1 species